UACGUAGGAUGCAAGCGUUGUCCGGAGUUAUUGGGCGUAAAGCGCAUGUAGGCGGUUUGUUAAGUGUGGUGUGAAACCUCCGGGCUUAACCCGGAGUGGUCGCUGCAAACUGGCAGACUGGAGGGCUGGAGAGGAAGACGGAAUUCCCGGUGUAGUGGUGAAAUGCGUAGAUAUCGGGAGGAACACCAGUGGCGAAGGCGGUCUUCUGGCCAGUACCUGACGCUGAGAUGCGAAAGCGUGGGGAGCAAACAGG
rnacentral:rRNA from 1 species